rnacentral:ncRNA from 2 species
UGCUUAUCGAGAAAGACCGAGGGAAGGGCCCUGCGACGUCUUAGCAACCUGAAUCAACAAGGUGCUAACUCCCAUUCUGAAGUAGAACAGAAAUAGAUGAGCG